rnacentral:rRNA from 1 species
UUNUGAACUGGGUGACUAGAGUGUGUCAGAGGGAGGUAGAAUUNCACGUGUAGCAGUGAAAUGCGUAGAGAUGUGGAGGAAUACCGAUGGCGAAGGCAGCCUCCUGGGAUAACACUGACGUUCAUGCCCGAAAGCGUGGGUAGCAAACAGGAUUAGAUACCCUGGUAGUCCACGCCCUAAACGAUGUCGAUUAGCUGUUGGGCAGCAUGACUGCUUAGUAGCGAAGCUAACGCGUGAAAUCGACCGCCUGGGGAGUACGGUCGCAAGAUUAAAACUCAAAGGAAUUGACGGGGACCCGCACUAGCGGUGGAUGAUGUGGAUUAAUUCGAUGCAACGCGAAGAACCUUACCUGGUCUUGACAUGUACGGAACCCUCCAGAGACGGAGGGGUGCCUCCGGGAGCCGUAACACAGGUGCUGCAUGGCUGUCGUCAGCUCGUGUCGUGAGAUGUUGGGUUAAGUCCCGCAACGAGCGCAACCCUUGUCAUUAGUUGCCAUCAUUAAGUUGGGCACUCUAAUGAGACUGCCGGUGACAAGCCGGAGGAAGGUGGGGAUGACGUCAAGUCCUCAUGGCCCUUAUGACCAGGGCUUCACACGUCAUACAAUGGUCGGUACAGGGGGUAGCCAAGCCGCGAGGUGGAGCCAAUCUCACAAAACCGAUCGUAGUCCGGAUUGCACUCUGCAACUCGAGUGCAUGAAGUCGGAAUCGCUAGUAAUCGCAGGUCAGCAUACUGCGGUGAAUACGUUCCCGGGUCUUGUACACACCGCCCGUCACACCAUGGGAGUGGGGGAUACCAGAAGUAGGUAGGGUAACCGCAAGGAGCCCGCUUACCA